rnacentral:lncRNA from 1 species
UUUAGAGGAAGGUAAUCCGCAACCUCUAAAAAUACCUCAAUGCUUUCGAGAAGAGGAGUAAUCUGCACUCUAUCAAGAAGGCAAAGCUCUGAAAUCGAUGUUAACAGUCUUUUUUACUAGCUAUGCUAAACAAAAAGAAGAAAUUAAUAUUAGUCCAAGAGAGGGUAAUCCGCAACCCUUAGAACGCUCCAGUAUCUCCAAGGAAAGGGGUAGUCCACUCUCUGCCUCAAAGAACUAAGCUCUGAUAUUGUGAU